rnacentral:lncRNA from 10 species
UCUAUAUGUGCUGGGCUUCCUCAUUCAGGUGGCCGCUUCUCCCUGCCCGCACUGUGAGUCCUGCACUCAGAUUCCCAAAUAAAUCCUGGGGCCUGAUGUAGGCACUGAGGAUGCAGGAUGCAGCAAUGAACGAAUGGGCCAGGCAUCAUGAAGUCUACAUCCAAGCGGUGCAUGCAGAAAGGAAACAGUGACUACGUAGGAUCAUGCCAGGACGUGAUGCAUGUAUCGAAUGAAGGCAGGUCUUUGACUUCCAAGCUGGGCCAAGGGAUGAGCUGCUGGGAGAUACGACCCUCAGUCCAGAGAGUCAAGGUGAGACAGUACCUGGAUGGCGUUCCUUCUGGUGCUGGUUUCUGAGAGGGAAGGCAGGGGACUCCCAGCCCCCCAGGCAACCCUGGUCCUCAUCCUGCCUUUUUUCUGGUUCUCAGUCUGGUUCUCCACUGUUCUUCCCAUCUAAGAAUCUAACACACACCCCUCAGUAAAAGUACUAUUGCCUGAGAGGGCAGUAGGUGGUGGGAGGAGACUGGCACUUCUAGCUGGUAUCUGAACCCUGUGUGACUUGGACUAUGGAUGCCAACAGGAUAGUCUAAAUCAACCGAUUUAUAGGCUCUGAUGCCUACAUCCAUUUAAAUGUACACGGAUGUUUUGUUUUUAAAACUUUGGUAGCUGUCAAGUAGGCAAACAUAUGCAAAACAUGGCGGGAUGGGUCGUUUAAGCUCCUGAGGCUGAGGACCUGCUCUGUCUUCUGCUGCCAUCAAGUCUAGGGUGCUGGGGGACACAGGAUAGUGAGGUGUCGCCUCAGGGAGCUUCAUGCUGACCUGGGAGGGGGAAUAAAAGGGUCUAGCCCCACACCGAUGAUACUCCCCUGCUCUCUUCUCCUCCCUACACUUCCCCUCUUGCCGACCUCAAAUAUUCCAAUUGUUUCAUGUCAAUCACUCCCAAUUCUCCACCUUGUUCCCACUUUCACUUCUAAAAUCCAGUCUCACAUUUUCUAUUGCCACCACCAUGAAAUCCCAAGGAUGCCUCAAACUUAUUAAAUCUAACCUUUGAGCAUCAAGCGAUGUACAGGGAUAGAGGGGAAUAGGGCAAAAAGCAAGAAAUGGGAGGACAAUGGUUUUGGAGGAGCAGCAUUUUGGUCCGCAGCGUCCCCAACUCCACACACAUCACUUGGCACUGGGCAUGCAGUGGGCACUUCAUAGCUGCUCCCUGAGUGAAUGCCUUCAUGAAGGGCUCCAGCAUCCCCUCAGCGGUGAAACCUGCGGAGUCCCACCACGCCUUCCUUCCUACUCCGCUCAGGCCACCCUAGCUCAGGCCCUCACCGCCUUGUCUCUGAGCUACAGGAUCUUAAUUGGUCUCCCCUCUUCAGCUUCCCCACUCCAAUCCAUUUUGCUGAUUAAGUCUUUCUCAAGCCAAGUUGUCCUAGUAUUUGUCACGUAAACAUGUGUACCGACUGUGUGCCUGGCCCUGGGCUGAGGGCCUCACACACAGCAGCAUGCCUGCUCUUCAAAGUCACCGUGUGAGGCCAGGACUCACUGUCCCCUCGCUACAGGGGAGAAAGCUGAGUGGAGAGGCAGCACAGCUCCCUAGCCAUGCAGGUGGAGCAUUCACUGGCCCCAUACCUGGGCACCUGGUCAUAGCACUGUUCUGUUGGGCUCUACAUUGUAUAUAUUUUUAAUUUUCUGCAUAUUGCCAUGUUUUGACAUCUAAAAAAUCCUUUCUAGCUGAGGAGAAACUGCAGCUCCUGGGCCAGUUAUUAGAAAGAGGAAAGGGCCCAGUGGUGAGCAUGCCUUUGAGGUGCAAACUGACCCAUCAGAGCUCUCCCUCCUUUACCUGGGCCUUGCACCCCAGGAGGCAAUACCCGCUGCCCUAACCAUCCCAGGGACAGUUCUGUGGUCUGGAUGUUCCUAUCCCCCCAAAAUGUGUAUGUCAAAACCCUAACUCCCCGAGGUGAUGGUAUUAGGAGGUGGGGCAUCUGGAAGG